UACAUAUAAAAGAAUUUUUUUUAUGGAUAAUAUCUCCAAAGGACAACAAAUGACCAUCUAUGACUUCUACAUGCACAAAUUUGAUUUUCUUGAGUAAAGAUAUUUCUUAUUUUUUGACAAAAUCUUUGCCAGUAAAAUAUGUUGAGGUUCUUAAAUCUAAUAAAGCAAAGAUUUUGUGAUUUUUUGGUCCUAUACAAACUCCUAUUGUAAAACAAGGUGAAGGAUUUGAAAAAAAAAUAUGACCUUUAUUAGAUAUUGUAUAAGAUUUUAAUUGUGUAAUCCUUGUUGUAGUUGAAGAAACUUAUUUUUCAAUACAUUGUCUUCUUUAGCAACCAUGUUUUCUAUUUUGUGAUUACUUGCUUCUUUGGAUAAUAUUGAACAAUAUACUUGGAUUUUCUAUAAUAUAGGUAUAAACCUUCUUUACAAUGUUGAGUCUUUUCUUGCUAAAUAAGAGGUUUAAAACAUAUUGUGUCAUUUAA
rnacentral:lncRNA from 1 species